rnacentral:rRNA from 1 species
CAGUCGCCGCGGUAAUACGGAGGGUGCAAGCGUUAAUCGGAAUUACUGGGCGUAAAGCGCACGCAGGCGGUCUGACAAGUCAGAUGUGAAAUCCCCGGGCUUAACCUGGGAACUGCAUUUGAAACUGUCAGGCUGGAGUCUUGUAGAGGGGGGUAGAAUUCCAGGUGUAGCGGUGAAAUGCGUAGAGAUCUGGAGGAAUACCGGUGGCGAAGGCGGCCCCCUGGACAAAGACUGACGCUCAGGUGCGAAAGCGUGGGGAGCAAACAGGAUUAGAGACCCCUGUAGUCCCUGUCUCUUAUAC